ACUAAACCAUUAGAGUUCUUUUCUCAGUGUAGCUUGAGGCGGAUUAUUCAACUCCACCGUAAUUCCAGGGAGCAUCGGGGUGUGGCCUGCCAAGAAGCACAACCCCUGCUGAAGACCCGGGGGAGGGCGGAAGGCUGGACCAUACUCCAAACGCUGGCAGUAAAUAUCUGAUCUGAAGGGGAAUCCCCCCUGGAGCAAGAAGGGUUGAUUUCUCAUGAGUCCUGCAAUCACCCAAGUCUUAGUUCCGUUAUCUCCAAAUGUGGCCAAAUAUCCUUCGGGCUGUGCCCAGCUGAGCCCCAUGGGUCAAGGCCCAGCCACCAGAUGCUCGCCAGCGAGCUGCCCUCCAAGGUCUGACUCCAGGAUUUCCCUGGUUUCCCUUUUCCAGGCGAGGUGCUGCAGCUCCUUCUUGACUGAUUCAUAUAGGGUUUCUGAAUCGCUAUUAGUCUGGCCCCUCCCCUGGGAACAAUUUGCCUUGGGAGACCCUACCAGGAGCUAUUGCCCCCGACAACACAGCUCCCAGGGUCACAGGGACACACAAACCCCUCUACCACGUUAAGGUGGCAAUUCUUGGAGGGGUCACAUUAAAGCACAUCAAAUCACAUCACAGCACAUCACAGCAGAGCACCUCACAGCACUUCACAUCACAUCACAUCACAUCACAUCACAGCA